GAUGAAGAACGCAGCGAAAUGCGAUACGUAAUGUGAAUUGCAGAAUUCAGUGAAUCAUCGAAUCUUUGAACGCAUAUUGCGCUCUUUGGUAUUCCGAAGAGCAUGCUUGUUUGAGUAUCAGUAAACACCUCAACCUCUUCUUGAUUUUUCAAAAGGAGGGUGGACUUGAGCUAUCCCAACAACCUUUACCGGUCGGCGGGCGGCUUGAAAUGCAGGUGCAGCUGGACUUUUAUCUGAGCUAAAAGCAUAUCUAUUUAGUCCUCGUCGAACAGGAUUAUUACUUUUGCUGCAGCUAACAUAAAGGAUAAUUGUCCUCUUUGCUGACUGAUGCAGGAUUUUACGACACUUUAUGUGUUGUUCAACUCGAUCUCAAAUCAAGUAAGACUACCCGCUGAACUUAAGCAUAUCAAUAAGCGGAGGA
rnacentral:misc_RNA from 1 species